UACGUAGGCAGCGAGCGUUGUUCGGAGUUACUGGGCGUAAAGAGUGCGUAGGCGGUGCUCCAAGUCUGGUGUGAAAGCCCCGGGCUCAACCUGGGAAUGGCAAUGGAUACUGGCAAGCUAGAGUGCGGUAGAGAGUAGUGGAAUUCCCGGUGUAGCGGUGAAAUGCGUAGAGAUCGGGAGGAACACCAGUGGCGAAGGCGGCUACCUGGACCAGCACUGACACUGAGGCACGAAAGCGUGGGGAGCAAACAGG
rnacentral:rRNA from 1 species